UCGGAUUCGGGGCGGAUUUUCAAAAAUCCGAACCCAAACCCGACUCCGAACUCGAACCCGAACCCGAACCCGAACCCGACGGAUUUUAAAAAUUCAUAUCCAAACCCAAACCCGACCAAAAAUCCGAAACCCGAACCCAAACCCAAGCCCGAAAAUUUGAACCGAAAACAAUUAUUUCUUUUUUCAAUAUUUCAAAAUAUAUUACAUUAAAUCUAAAUUUCUAAAAUACAAAUUUAAAUA
rnacentral:lncRNA from 1 species